GACGAACGCUGGCGGCGUGCUUAACACAUGCCAGUCGAACGGAAAGGCCCUGCUUUUGUGGGGUGCUCGAGUGGCGAACGGGUGAGUAACACGUGAGUAACCUGCCCUUGACUUUGGGAUAACUUCAGGAAACUGGGGCUAAUACCGGAUAGGAGCUCCUGCUGCAUGGUGGGGGUUGGAAAGUUUCGGCGGUUGGGGAUGGACUCGCGGCUUAUCAGCUUGUUGGUGGGGUAGUGGCUUACCAAGGCUUUGACGGGUAGCCGGCCUGAGAGGGUGACCGGCCACAUUGGGACUGAGAUACGGCCCAGACUCCUACGGGAGGCAGCAGUGGAGAAUAUUGCACAAUGGGCGGAAGCCUGAUGCAGCAACGCCGCGUGCGGGAUGACGGCCUUCGGGUUGUAAACCGCUUUCGCCUGUGACGAAGCGUGAGUGACGGUAAUGGGUAAAGAAGCACCGGCUAACUACGUG
rnacentral:rRNA from 1 species